AUGACCCCUCUGAAAGCCAUGUGUGUGUGUGUGUGUGUGUGUGUGUGUGUGUGUGUGUGUGUGUGUGUGUUUGUGUCUUCGUUGCCUUUUGGAUCUUACAGUCUCUGUUCUGGGUCUGUUUCUUUCGCUGUGUUGGUGACUCCAUCUGGGAGCUCACUCCUGUUUUUUACUCUUAUUACAGGGUUGGCUGUGAAGUACACGAGGACAGUGUCAAGAGCUCAGUCUACACCGUACUCCCCCGCAGGGGUAAUGUCCAAGUCUGUUUUCAGCUACCACAACCCAGCUGAGGGCAUCACAUGGUCAGAAAGCAAUCCUGCUGGCUGACUGUGGAUGGAAACAUAAGGCAAACCUUUCUUCUUCUCGUAUUUCUCAUGGAGUAGACUCCACCACAGAUGCGAGGCAGCGCUUACCUGAACGCUCGUUUAUUGAACGACUGACGUUGACAGCACAAAGUGCACAGUCACUUGUGGUCAGGCCUUCAUCACUGUUUAACAAGCUCUGAUCGCCCUGUCUGUGGGUCCCAUCAUGCCGAAGGGGACUAUGGACUGAUGUUCACAGGACGUGCUGGCCCUGACUCCUGAGAGGUGAGGCCAGACCUGCUGGGACUGAUUGUUCCCUCAGCUCAGUCUUUGCAAUAGAAAACCAGGUCCGGGAGUGCAGGCAAGGCCAAUACAAACAUUUCAAAACAGUGUGGUGGGAGAUGGAAACAUUUCUAACUUAUAUUCAGAUAUAGGCAUAGAAACUUCCAGAAGUAUUGCUUUUAUUUUUUUUUUAACUACAGUAGGAGGAAGAUAGAAAAUUAUGUCAGCCAUCAGCUUGAGUGGCACAUGCCCAUAAUCCUAAUACUUGAAAGAUGUGGAGACAGGAGGAUCAUAAGUUCACAAGUUCAAGGUCUUUCUUGGCUAUAUGGUGUGUGUGAAGGCAGCUUGGGCUACAUGAGACUCUGUCUCUAAAAAAAAAAUCAAAAAGAGGAAAAAAAAGAAAAAGAAUCUGCCUUUUUACAGUUUGAAAGAACAAAGGCAAAAGUUAGAAUAGGCGUAGGAAGUCUCCUAAACUCCAUUGUAUGUCCCGCACAGCUGACAGGUACUGUGAGGGAGGAGCAUUAGUUCGUGCUAGCUGAACUAAGUCAGUUCUCAUAAUUAUUAAAAUCAGUUUCAUAGGGCUGCGGAUGGCUCAGUCAUUAAGAGCAUUAGCUGCUCUUCUAGAAGGCCAGGCUUCAGAUACCAGCAUCCACACUGGUGUCUCAAAACUGCCUACGGUCAGUCUAGGAGAUCUAACACCCUCUUCUGGACUGUGAGAAAGCCCACUGUGGUGGCUGUUUCUAGUUGUCAACCUGAUUACAUCUGGAAUGAACUGCAAUCCAGAAAUGGAGGACACACCUGUGAUCCAGAUCUUGAGGCUGGAGGACAGGCUUCUGACACAAAUCUUGACAUGGAGAUAUUGAGGCAUAGUGGCCAUGAAAAUCUCAGGCCUAAGCAAGGUAGUACACACAACUAAUUCCAGGAGACUGAGGCGAACUGAUCCCUGAUUUCAAGGUCAGCCUGGGGCAAAGCAAGUUUUAGAUCUAGGUGUGGUGGUAAUCUGAGCCAUACUUUCUGCUGGAGGCCUACAGAAGGACAUUGGAAGAAGGAAGAUUCACCUUUCAACUGCUUGCCCUUACUUGCCAGCACAUCUGCUGAAACCUACUUCUACAGAAGGCCAGAUCUAACAACCAGCCUUGUGGGAUUGAACAGCUACUAGACUCUGGGACUUCCCAUCCACAGCUGCCUAUUGUUGGGUUAGUUGGACUACAGACUGUAAGUCAUCACAAUAAAUUCCCUUAAUAUAUAGAGAGACAUUCUGUAAGUUCUGUGACUUCAGAGAACCCUGACUAAGACAGAAAUUGGUAACAGGAUUGGUUCUAGAGAAGCAGAAGUAUAAGGAUGAAUCUUUUAAGAAUCUGGUUUAAUGGGCUGGAGAGAUGGCUCAGCGGUUAAGAGCUCCCGACUGCUCUUCCAGAGGUCCUGAGUUCAAUUCCCAGCAACCACAUAGUGGCUCACAACCAUCCAUAAAGAGAUCUGAUGCCCUCUUCUGGUGCAUCUGAAGACAGCUACAGUGUACUUAUAUAUAAUAAAUGAAUAAAUCUUUAAAAAAAAAAGAAUCUGGUUUAAUAAUUUGCUAGCACCUUCUAAUUCACCAGCAUCUUGAACUACUGAAGUCUCUCCAGAUUCUCUCUCGUGCGUUCUCGGGAAAUAAAGAAGGCCCGUGGUGGAAACUAUUUCAAACUUAAAGAAGCUAAUGCCUUUAUUAUCUUGAUCCGUCAAUACUGACUGGCAAUGAAUUAGGUGAUCCAGUAUAUGAAGUUUUCUACAAUUUGGGGGAAAAUAAGAAAAAUUAUUUUGCUGGUUUGUUGCUCUUAGUAUGUCUGGAAAAAUUGACGAAGGAAACGAAUGAGCUGUCUUAUAAAAUUGUAGGGCUUCAGAUGCAAGUAAACAAUUUCAAGGUUUUCUAAGUGUGCCCUUGAAGAGAAUCUUCUCUCCAGCAGCC
rnacentral:lncRNA from 1 species